UAACCCAGUCAGAUAUAGAGGGGUUAUUAACCCAGUCAGAUAUAGAGGGGUUAUUAACCCAGUCAGAUAUAGAGGGGUUAUUAACCCAGUCAGAUAUAGUGUAGUGGCAAGAGGGAUUUAGUCAAUACAUUGUUGGCUAUCCUUUUCCUUUCUUUCUGUGCCACCAAAUGUUUACCUUGUUUACUGGUAAUAUUACCAUGGCUAUCAAUAGGCUACCGGUAAUGUUACCAUGUUAGCUAGCUAGCUAAUGAGGUAUUAUGACUGAACAAGGUUUAGUGUAGCCUAAACUAGUAGCCUCUAACUAGAAAGCUGACGGUCACUGGGUUCGCUACGGUGAAGCAGGAGAGUUGGGUAUCUAACCAGAAAGUUGACGGUCACUGGGUUAGCUACGGUGAAGCAGGAAAGUUGGGUAUCUAACUAGAAAGCUGACCUUCCUACUGAGAAUGAGUCAUCCUCGUGCAGUGGCGUUAAUUACCGCCAUUUGUUAAUCGAAGCCCCCCCCAAGCUGAUUGUCAACUGUUGUCAGAUACACGUGGGUCUGGACAGACGAUUCUCUUCCUCAAUAAAGUGCAGCGAAUUCUAUUAGAUGAAAUGCCUGAAAUGAGUAUGACAUCCUGGCAUUUCAAGUAUUCAACAUUUUGUUCAAUUUCAGACUAUAUAUAAAAAACAAUGCCUUUUGUUUUAGGACACAAGUACAGGUUUUGGGACAUGGCCACUCAAUGGGUUAGUGGUUAGAGUGUUGGGCCAGUAACCGAAAGGUUGCUAGAUCGAAUCCCCGAGCUGACAAGGUACAAAUCUGUCGUUCUUUCUCCUUAAAGAGGCAUUGUAAAUAAGAAUUUGUUCUUAACUGACUUGCCUAGUUAAAUAAAGGUUAAAAAAAAUUUCUUCCAAAACGGCAACACACACCUCAGUUCAGCAGCACAGUAACUCCUAAAUCUCACCAGGGGGCAGGCAGGCUUGAUUCAGUUCUCAAUUUCACUUUCCAUUUAGUAAUUUAUUGAUGUCAGAGUUCUAAUUAAGUGGAAGUUCAGAUUAAUCAUGUACUAAAUUGAAAACUCAUUUUAUCAAACAUUGGACAUAUUCAAUUGACUUCUUUAAUUGACUGAGUUAAAACUGUCAGGUCCCAAUCCUGCUCUCUCCCCCCUCUUCUCUCCCUCCACUCCCUCUUCCCUCUCUCCCCUUCCCUCCCUCUUCCCUCUCUCCCUCACCCUCUCUUCCCUCCCUCCCUCUUCCCUCCCUCUUCCCUCCCUCCCUCUCUCUCCCUCUCUUCCCUCUCUCCUCUUCCCUCUCUCCCUCCCCAUUCCCCCUCUCUCCCUCCCCAUUCCCUCUCUCCCUUCCCUCUUCCUCCACUCCCCCAUCCCUCUCUCCCUCCCUCCCUUCCCUCUCUCUCCUUCCCUCUCUCUCCCUCCCUCCCUUCCCUCUCUCUCUUCCCUCUCUCUCCUUCCCUCUCUCUCCUUCCCUCUCUCUCCCUCCCUUCUCUCUCUCCCCCCUCUUUCUCGCUCUCUCUCUCCAGGUUGAGAGAAACUGAUUGUGAAAAGCAUCAUGUAACAUAAAAUCACCAUAGAAAUGUAGCAGAGAUCUUUUAAAUAUAGCAAUAUACAGACUAAUGUAUGAUACUUGAUUAUAAUCUCAACAGAUAUAAAUACCUGUAUGACAAUGUUUGUAAUUUAUGUAUAAAAUAAUUCAGCAACAUGUUUAUUAGUAUUUUGUUGAUGUUUCCAGAAGGUUUGAUGACUUUCUAUUGGUUGAUGUUUCCAGAAGGUUUGAUGACUUUCUAUUGGUUGAUGUUUCCAGAAGGUUUGAUGACUUUCUAUUGGUUGAUGUUUCCAGAAGGUUUGAUGACUUUCUAUUGGUUGAUGUUUCCAGAAGGUGUGAUGACUUUCUAUUGGUUGAUGUUUCCAGAAGGUUUGAUGACUUUCUAUUGGUUGAUGUUUCCAGAAGGUUUGAUGACUUUCUAUUGGUUGAUGUUUCCAGAAGGUUUGAUGACUUUCUAUUGGUUGAUGUUUCCAGAAGGUUUGAUGACUUUCUAUUGGUUGAUGUUUCCAGAAGGUUUGAUGACUUUCUAUUAAAUAUUUUGUAAAAUC